rnacentral:rRNA from 1 species
AGUGUAGGCGGUCAAGCAAGUCAGGGGUGGAAAGGCAUCGGCUCAACCGAUGUAAGCCUUUGAAACUGUUUGACUUGAGUGCAGGAGAGGUAAGUGGAAUUCCUAGUGUAGCGGUGAAAUGCGUAGAUAUUAGGAGGAACACCAGUGGCGAAGGCGACUUACUGGACUGUAACUGACGCUGAGGCUCGAAAGCGUGGGGAGCGAACA